rnacentral:rRNA from 1 species
CGGUGAAUACGUUCCCGGGCCUUGUACACACCGCCCGUCAAGCGAUGGAAGUUGGGAGUACCUAAAGUCGGUCACCGCAAGGAGCCGCCCAGGGUAAAACCGAUAACUGGCGCU